rnacentral:rRNA from 1 species
CCUACGGGUGGCAGCAGUGGGGAAUAUUGCACAAUGGGGGAAACCCUGAUGCAGCGACGCAGCGUGCGGGAUGACGGCCUUCGGGUUGUAAACCGCUUUCAGCAGGGAAGAAGCGCAAGUGACGGUACCUGCAGAAGAAGUACCGGCUAACUACGUGCCAGCAGCCGCGGUAAUACGUAGGGUACGAGCGUUGUCCGGAAUUAUUGGGCGUAAAGAGCUCGUAGGUGGUUGGUCGCGUCUGCGGUGGAAACGCAACGCUUAACGUUGCGCGGGCC